ACCUGGGUGGCUCAGUCGGUUGAGCGUCUGACUUCAGCUCAGGUCAUGAUCUCACAGUCGUGAGUUCAAGCCCCGCGUCGGGCU
rnacentral:tRNA from 1 species